GCGACGUGAACGCAACGAGCUUUUUGAGCAAAUAACGUAUAACGAGCACAGCUAUCUGCCCUCCGAAGGCAGGGGUUGCUGGUUCGAUCCCAGCCGGGCGCGCCA
rnacentral:tRNA from 1 species